rnacentral:rRNA from 1 species
ACAUGUCUGGAAUGCCGAAGAGAUUUGGCAGUGCUCGCAAGAGAACCGGAACACAGGUGCUGCAUGGCUGUCGUCAGCUCGUGUCGUGAGAUGUUGGGUUAAGUCCCGCAACGAGCGCAACCCUUGUCAUUAGUUGCUACGCAAGAGCACUCUAAUGAGACUGCCGGUGACAAACCGGAGGAAGGUGGGGAUGACGUCAAGUCCUCAUGGCCCUUAUGGGUAGGGCUUCACACGUCAUACAAUGGUCGGGACAGAGGGUCGCCAACCCGCGAGGGGGAGCCAAUCUCAGAAACCCGAUCGUAGUCCGGAUCGCAGUCUGCAACUCGACUGCGUGAAGUCGGAAUCGCUAGUAAUCGCGGAUCAGAAUGUCGCGGUGAAUACGUUCCCGGGUCUUGUACACACCGCCCGUCACACCAUGGGAGUGGGUUUCACCAGAAGUAGGUAGCCUAACCGUAAGGAGGGCGCUUACCACGGUGGGAUUCAG